UACGUAGGGGGCAAGCGUUGUCCGGAUUUAUUGGGCGUAAAGAGCGUGUAGGCGGCUAGGUAGGUCCGUUGUGAAAACUCGAGGCUCAACCUCGAGACGCCGAUGGAAACCAUCUGGCUAGAGUCCGGAAGAGGAGAGUGGAAUUCCUGGUGUAGCGGUGAAAUGCGCAGAUAUCAGGAAGAACACCCGUGGCUAAGGCGGCUCUCUAGUACGGUACUGACGCUGAGACGCGAAAAGCGUGGGGAGCGAACAGG
rnacentral:rRNA from 1 species